rnacentral:snRNA from 1 species
UAGGACGUGUCGGCUGCU